AUUUUUUUUUAUUUUAAAAAUUAUUUAAUUGAGUUUAAUUUAACUCAAAACUUAAAUUAAUGUAAUUAAUUAUUCAGCCUUCAAAAUGAAGGAGAUCAUUUUAGACUGUGUUCUUCCUUUUAAAAAUGUAUUUGUAUAUUUUGCCUUCCAAUGUUGAUCUUGUAUGAUACACUCAAAACACAUUUUUAGCUUUCCUCCACAACCACUGGAAUUAGAAGCAUUGCUAUUGUUGAGAAUGAGAGCUGAAAUCCCUUUCAGAAGGGAACUAGGGUUUUCUGGAAAAGGUGAUUUUUAUAAGGCUCAUCAUAGCCACUAUCACUUUUGCUUUCCUUGAUUAGCAGAAUGAAGCUGCAAAACAUCCCUAUCUCUUCAUGGGCAAUAUGGAAAGUAAACAGGAUCUUUCUGCUGCUUUCAGAUCACACAGCUUUAAGUAUUUCCAGCUGGAAUGUUCGAUACAGGUGUCUGGUUCUGGUUUGCUGAUAGGCCAGGCUGCAAACACCUUCCAAGUAUGUGGUAGCUCCUCAUGGUCCUGGCAGACACUGCAAUGCUCAGGAGGCAGUGAUGGCUGGAAGAUGUGUCCUGGGGACCCCAUUCAGGACAUCCUGGGUUUUGCAGCACGACCAUCUAGAUGUAGUUUAUGUGACUUUGGUGAAGAAAUUGGUGCUGCUCCUUGUUAGAAGUUGUACCUUAUCACACCUGUGAAACUUUUGCUGUGUCCUGGAGAUGCAGAGAAGCAAUCAGGCACUGAGCAGCAGUGGUUAGCACAAAAGGAACAAUACCCUGCCACACAUUUAAGAAGGGGAGUUCCAAGUCCAGAGGAAUGCAACUUUGGCUUCCAGAUCCUAGGCUGAACUUUGAGGCUGUUGAAAAGAAACAGAUUUUGUAGAAGUGUCAUAAUAGUAAAAGGGCUUUCAAAUUGGUUUUGCAACUUUUGACACCUGAAACAGUGUAAGAACAGAUGUGUUGGUUUUCCUGCAUGGGAAGGAGUGGCCCCAUGGGUGUAUCGAUGUGGUUUAUCAGUUGAAGGUGAAAGAUGUGGAGUGUCUGUGUGCUUCACACAGCCACAUCCAAUUUUACAAUUAGAAUUUUACACAGUUUUCCAAGGGGUGGGGCAGAGCAGUGGGUAUUUCUGUCUGAAUUGAGAUACAUCUCCACACUUGAGUGGUGGGGGAAUGGGUAGUGGGGGUUAGAGGUCCUACAGUCAGGACUAGGAGCAUCAUGGAUGUGAUGGCUGGGCUCCUAAGCCCUCCUGAGAUUCCAGAAUUGCCAUGGUCAGCCAAGAGCUUCCCAGGUCCUUCUCAGCCCCAGCAGUGGUAAAUGGCACCAUCUCAUACAAGCUGAGAGGAGAAGGUGGCUACAAAACCAGAACAGGUCUCUGGAGCCAGCAUCAAGGAGUGUGGGGCAAAAGAAUCCCUUCUGAAAGGCUGAGCCCUUUUCCGGGUGUGGGCCAGUCAUUGUGUGCCUUUCUCAGAGUUUUAGGGGUGUGAGCAAAUGGUUGGAGCACAGCUGAAGUUUACAAAAACUGUCUGUCAAUGGCUAAGGAUUGUUGUUUCUCUGAUGUUUGGGAAGGUAAUGCAAGAGCAGAUAUUAGGUUCAGAGUCUUCUUGAAGGUAUGCUACCCAGUUUCUAAACAAUACUGUGUUAUCAAAAAUUACUAAUGAAAUAACAAUGCUUUGAGGGAAUUUCAUGGGAAGAAAGUGAUCGCAAUUCCAAAAAAAACAGAAUCAGAAGAAUUGGCACCUAACCAUGGUAGAUAACAUAUUGCACUGAGAUUUGUUUCUAUGGAAGAGAAGAAGCAGAGCUUGGUUAGUUAAAUUCCUGUUUACCACUGAGAAUGCCCUGCAGUGUGAUUUUCCUGCUCUGUCAGUUGGAAGAUGCUUUCUAUGGGAUAUCUGUGACUAUAUGAUUUUUUUUUUUAUAUACAGGCUACAGUUCUCCUGUCUUCUCCUGCGUUCUCCUCAUCUUUAGGACACCAGGCAGCUGUUAAGAGCAGGAAACAAAGGUGGUAAGGUAGAGGUCCUGAUUUUGCUUGUGAUGAUUUUUAGAGGAAGACUCGAGACCCGGUUUGUUGCCUGCUCUGGGCAGAUUCCUGGUGACAUAAAUAGCAUUGUGUGGUGGAGGCAGACUGAAGGGAAAUAAUGGAAAUUAUUUGGUUUUACUGCUCUGAGGGCUCUAGUUGCAAAAUCAGUAGCACUUGUGCAUUAUGUAGCUAUUAGAUGGUAGAGACCAGCUGGUUAGUGGUGUCCUGCUUUUUCUGAGGAUCCUUCUGACUAGACAGUAUUGGACACUGGCAGAUCAAGAAAUUAGUGAAUCCCCUUUGUAAACAACAUGAUAAACCGAAUUAGAGGUACUCCAGAUUCUUCAUAUCUUACUGUUAAAGAAAAGCCUCCCUAAGGCAGAACCCAAAUGUCACUCUCAGUUGAGCUGAGAUGCGGGAACAUCCCAGCCGUGAGACAAAGCUGCUGUUGCCCUGACCCCCCUCGUCCCUCACCCGAGACUGUCAGACAAAAAUUCCCAUUGCAGGUACUGCCACCCCCCGCCCCGCUGACCCAAAGUGCUGUAGAUACAGUGGUGUGACGAUGAGAAAACCCUGGAAACCCCACAAGCCAAGGAGCACGGGCUCCUCGGGCCAUCGGGGUGAGCGCUAGGUGUCACUGCAGCCCAAGGAAAAGGCAGCGCUGCAAGGCUCCCAGAAACUGCCGGCGAAAAAGAAAUAUUUUGCAUUUCAGGAAAAGUUGAUUCUGCUGGUGGCAAAAAAUGAAAAGACUGCUAUGCUAUAAAUACAGUCGCAAGUAUAAAUAUAUGAAUUUUAUGUGACUAGCAUCUUUUAUUCAGAAGGAAAACAGUAAAUUGCUCUUUAUGCUUGGCUCACUUUCAUUAGCACACAGUGAUAGAACUCUCAUCUUGUUUCUGUUGGAGACUCCCAUAUUGAAAAAGGUCUGCUGUACUGAAACUGAUCAAUGUUACUUCCUUAAUUAGCUGCAAACUUGAGAUAACUGAUACAACUUAAUAGAAUAAGAAACACAAAAAGUACAGAGCACACCAAACCAAAAACAAGCCUAUGGGAAAGAAGUUACACCUCUCCAACACCUCAAAUUGUUCACUCAUCUUUCUUAAACUUUUUAACCUUUCCCCCUUAUUACUUUCUCCCUGCAUCCUAGAUGUCCUUAUUUCCUCUACUCUUUCAGGCUAAAUAUGCUCUGAGAUAAUUGCAGACAUUACGAGUUGGAAAAAUUAGAGUGAAAAGUAAGAAAUACAAAUUUAUAUUCAGAUCAAAUUAAUCCUUUUAUUUCUUUAUGUCUGGAUUUCAUAAUUUGCUGAUUUUUAAUGUAGAGCAGUGUGAAUAAGAAGCAAAGUUCUGGAAAUGGGUUUGUUUUUUUUUCUGUCUUUUGACAAAUGUUGGCUUCUAUCAAAAUAACCCCCCAUAAAACCUUGUAUAGCUCCCUUGUGAGUUCUUCCUAUGCCAAUUAAGUUCAAAUGAAAUGGAGUGGCUUUUUUUUACUUUUAAAAAAAUUAUUGUUUAUCAAAUGUGUCCAGACAGCCUCUGGCUACCAUUAGCAGUUUGCAAAUAAAUAAAACAAAUGGCUUAUUGAUCUGUGUCAGCUCAGUGUCCUCUCCAGGAUAAACUAGACAUGUUCAGCACCACAUCCUCAGGCAAGGGCUGGAGCAAACAGAUGAACCAUGCAUCCUGCCCAAAAAAGCAACCGGCUGGGAUACUGGCAGAGCAGUGGAAGAAAUGAUAUUCACAGGCAGACAGAUCUCCUACUGGUGAGUAGGUAGGAGGCAUUUCCAUGAUGAAAUGUUCCUGCUAGGGAUGACAGGUGAAAGACUGUCCCUUCUGAUCUUCUGCAGAGGAAGAGAGGAGGAUUGGGAGGUAACUGGGUACCUGCCUUGCCUUCUCCCAGCAGUGGGCUCAAAGCUGAGUUCUACGUUCACCCACCAGUAGGAGUACCUUCCACUGAAAUGGGUGGGUAAUCAUGGAUCCAAAAGGGUUUCUGGAGGAGGUGAGUCACAGGACUGGCUGUUCAUUUAGCAGAUGCAAGGAAAGGAUACAGAUUCAUGGUGCUAAGUGAGCUCCUCAUGACCCUGCUUUGAGAAGGAGGGCUGAAACAGAGACUUCUAGAACUCCCCUUCCCACCUGAAAGUUUUUCCAUUUCUAAUUCCCAGGUUCACAGAUUGUAUUACAAAGAAGUGAUCAUGAAAUUGAGAUUCUGGUUUACACCAUUGCAGAGAAGGAAAAAAAAAAAAAAAAAAGAGAGUUCAAAGAUAUUGUAGUAGGAUCAAAUCACUCUAAGAAAAGAAUGUGACCUCAUGGUGGCCUACCAAAUUUGCUCUAGUUUAGUUCAGGAACUUUUUUCACCCAGUUACUUCAAGUGUGAAAUUAUCCUGUUCAGAAUGGGUGUUAACAGGUUAAAGAGCUGCAGACUGAUAAAUGCAGAUCUCCUCAAUCAUGCUUGAUGAGAGGCACUUACAGGCCUCAUGGGCUGCCAACAGGAUCAUCUAUCAACUCUGUAGGUGUCCAGGCCAUAAGUGAGGGAAGCCAGCAGGUGACAUGCAGUUUUUUCAUAAGAUGUGAAUAUUGAGAUCUAUGACACACAGCUAACAUCAGAUAAAACAGAUAACAUACAGGAAAAAAAAAAAAAAAAGAUUUAAAGGUGAGCUGAGGUAAACUGGAAAGUUUUCAGUAGUUGGAAUUUUUGAGGGUUUAAUUACUGGUUAAUUUAUGUUUAAUGAGAGAUAUAUUAAUAUAGUUAACAUGAACUUAUAACAAUGUUUUCCAUAAUAAAUUGUGUAGUUUUAUGUCAAGACCUACAAUCAGGGCCCAGGUCCCUAAACAACAUCAAUGCCUCACAGACCACUUGGAACAGAGCAUUUUGGUUAAUUCUGCUGUCAUUUUUUACUGUAGAGUAGGAGUGUGCUGCUUUCUUCUAACUAUCACAGUGACAGCAAUAUCUAAUGCUUCAGUGUCAGUCCUUGUGCUUUUGGUAUGCUUGGUGCCAUUCCAUCAUUCUCCUUUCUUCUUAGUCCUGUUCUCUUCUGAUCUCAGCUUGUUUUCCUUCAUGUGGUCAUGUUCACGUCUUUUCCAUAAACUACAUGUUCUUUCCUCAUUUUUCUUCUUUCCUUAAACAUAAGCUCUCCUUCACCAGGGCCAACUCUGUAAAUGUCUGAGUCUUGCUGAAUCACUCAUUAGUAUCAUCCCCACAGACUUCUCUUGAACAAUCAUUUCCAGCAGCACAUCAGCACAUCAUGACUGCCAAAGAAGCCGCUUGAAUGGAAACAAACUGCAACUCAACGUGCCCAGUGUGACACCAAACACAUGUGAUGUCAUUCCACGACCACAAGACUUAGUGUUACUUUGUUUUGAUUUUCCCCAGCCACUGGUACUGGACUAGCAGCAUCACAAAGAAUGGUUAUUUAAUGGCUGCUGUGCAAGCCAGAGAGUCUGAGCUAGUAGCUUGAGAAAGUUGUGAUUUGAUUUCAUCCUGGCCAGCCUGAAAGUCUGAAGCAUCUGACAUUACACAGGCCCAGAAAAACAGAAGACAUAAGACAGUGAUUUCAUACGAGGAAUUGAGAUGUUAUAAUAAGCUUAGGGACCAAAAGGUGAACAGCAAAGGUUAAAGAGAGCAUGUGGAAAGACAGUCUACUUUUCUUCCAGGAUAAGAGGGAAAAUAUUUGUCUUCUUUCCUCUAGCUUGGAGCACAACAGAGCUCUCUCAUUUCUCACUAAGUAGGGGGAUCAUAUGAUGAAUCAAAAUACAGAGCUUGCUUUGGGCUAUAAAGCAGCAAUCCAGACAUAUUGUCCCUUUCUAGCCCUUGGCCAGCAGUCACUCGAGCACCAACAUGUCCUGUACCUGGCAGGGUAUUAAACCUAUCCCUUUCCAGUAACAUAUAGCACAGCAGUUAAGAUCUAGGUCAAGCGGAGUGAGACCGGAAUGGUUUUGUCUUCUCAUGGCCGCUUCUGUGAAAGGAGGAUUGAACAGACCCUGCCUUGCUAACUAAUAAAAAUAGACAGUGUCAUAGGUAUCAAGUGCUUGAGCCAAACUAAGAGAAAAUAAAAUCUGCAAUAUCAGCAGAUUCUUUGUGUGGCUGUUCAUAAUGGAGAGGGGCUAAAGAACCCAAAGAGAGCAGGCACAAGCACAUAUAUGUACCAUCUUUCCACUGAUUUCCUGUCAGCAGCCACCUCCUUCCACGGUUACCCCUGUUUCUUUUUUAAUUUACCCAUUAAGUCACCAGACCUAAAUACUUUUCUUGCUUAUUUAGAUCCAUUUUAAAUAACACAUGGAAAAAUAACACAUGGAAGGUUUCUUCCCAGGUAUUUGGUCAACAUCUAAUGAAAAUAUGAGAUGAAGUGUUUAGGUUCCCCUACUCAUCAAAUCCUAGGUCCCCAUUAGAAACACAAAAGCUUUAUAAAUGCUUAUAAAUGCUGUGCCAUAAGGCUUCCUCUGCUUUUAGUAACAGAAAUUCCAUCUACUGGUUUGUCUUGCUGCGACAGCUCCAUGCUUCUGCUAUGGCCAAACAUGACAUUCCCAGUUUUUACGAUGGAUGGAAACUAUGGUGACAGUAAGUUCAGACAUGUGCUCCAGGCAUGCCUGGACAAGCAUCAUGGAAAGGCUCUGAAAAACCUCCAGCUAGCUAUUUCCAUUGUCACUGUGCUUUUAGACCCUUGCUAACAAUUCAAGGUAAAAAGUAUGAACUUUUUUAGACAUCUUUUCUGAUUCUCAGACAACCCACCGAAAUAUUGAAGUUUUCACACUGAGACUUUCCCAUUAAUAUACUUGCUUCAAAACUUGUUUACCAUAAAUUUCUUAUCUUGCCAAAAAAUUGAGCCUGGUUGUGACAGGCUUCUGGCAUCAUAUGAUGUCAUUGCUGUUAUCUGAGUUUGAUAAACAGGAAAGCAUUUCCUGCAAGAAUUGUUGCACUUGCAUUUUUUGAAUAGUCUCAUGGGAGCAUAUUCAAUCAAUUUUAUUAAUUCCUUUUCUCUGGGCAUUCAUGCCAGUGAAAUAUAGUCACUUCAAUGUUUAAGGAAAGAUGAAAUGUCAAAGGGAAAUGGCAAAUGACAUAAGCAUAUUUAUUUCAUUGCAGUUAUAGAAGAUUCUUGGACUAUUUUUUCAGUUCUGAUUUUCUGGAAUUUGAAAUAGAUUCGUAAAUUGGCACAUUCUCCUAAAGAAUGAAAUAUCAUUUGAGUUGCUUGCAGAACUGUACUAUACCCUCACAGAUUUCAUUGGAGCUUUGUAUUUCAGUUCAGGUUAUCAGCACUAGGAUCUGUAGAACAGAAAUAGGAAUGCCAUGGUUUUUUUUAAAGACUGUUUUUUCUGCUGAGUUCACUAAAUAUGCAAAGAAAUAUGCCAAACACCUCUCUGUUUCAACCACAAAUUUGCAUUUUAUCAUUGCCUCAUUCCAAGUUGCUUAUUUCUCUUUCUUUCUAGGGGCCAAAUGACAAUUUUCUCUUGUAAGGAAAACAUAUUUCUCAUCAGAACCUUUUAAAAUCAAUAAAAAAAAACAAACCCCAAAGCAACAUUAUAAUGAUAAUUUAAAAAUGCCUGCUUUGGUUAGAGAAUGUACUAUACUUUCUGAACAGGAUGUGUUCUGAGUUAUAAACAAAAAUAAAUAAUAAAACAUGUUUUAAAGAUUCACUUGAAUUUGACAGCAAUUUUCUAUCCAGGUCAACACAUAAGACACUUGAAGUGUUGCCAGUUCACAUAAUUUAAGCUGUAUAGUUUCAAAGGUUGGGGUUCUGCUGUGAAGCUUGAAAUUGACCCAUUUGCAAACCUUAAGCUGAAUUAUCAUCAACAUAUUGAGAAAUGUGUGUGUAAAUGAAAAUGAUACAAUUUCUUCUGGGACCCAAGUCAUGCCAUUGAGAAUAAAAAUAGUAUCAGAUGACCCAGUUUCAAACAAAAGUAACUCAACAGUGAGUAUUUACAAUUCCUAAGUGGAGAACAUGUAGUAUGUUAACACUGGAAGCAGAAGUGUUAAAAUCACUGGGCACAGCACUUGCCCCAAACAAUAUGAAAGUCGAGUUAAAAAAUCUCUGAGGAAGGCUUGUUUCAGAAAAGUGUGUGUGAACUACCUCUUUUCCCUCUGUAAGUCAGAGUGAAGGGAAGAGAGGAGUUGUACAGGCCUAUUACUGUCCUUUAGUAUAAAGACACCGCUCACUCUGUCCUGUGGAAGGUUCAUUACUAGAGCAUGACAACAGCUAAUGCACCUAUACAUUGGAAGCUGUAUUAUUAAUGGCCCUGCUAAUAGCUGGUGACAGUGAGAGAGUGAAUUUCCACAGUUCACAGCCCUUUGUAAGUCUUCUUCUGGAACAUUUCUCUCCACUAUCAUCACCCAGACUCCCCCUCUGACCUCUUUAUCAGUCAGUGAGUGGUACCAGAGGCUUAAGACAUAAUCACUGCAGUGUGCCAUGUGUGCUUUGCAGGGCAACACAACACAGGGAGAAACUAGAAAAAAAAAACAAACCCAGUGCUUUUUUUUAAAAAAAAAAAAGUUCCUAUAAAUACUUUAUGGGGGUAAUGAUAAUGUAAUUUAGUUCCACUUUUAUUCUUCUGUGCUUACUUCACAAGAACUUUCAUGUUUCAUCUUCAAGUGAAUCUUCUUAUUUACAGCUAUGCAGCCUGAUCUAAAAUUCACUGUGGGCAGUGAAAAUGCUGCCAAUGACUUCAGUGGACUUUGGAUCAAGCCCACAUCUACCUUGAAACUCUGUUUUCCUUGACUCCUAGACAUGAAAUCAAAGGCUGAACCUGGCUUAUCUAUAUAUUUGAGGAAUACAGAAGUAACAUUAAAAGAAAACUUUGUUAUGUCUGCUUCCACUUCUGCCUCCCUUUCAAGGGGAAGAGAAGUAGCUUCUCAUUUCAGUACCUCUGCAAUUAAAGCUAAUAUAACCAGCUGCAUGUUACAGUUUAUUUCAAGCACGAUUUAUGUUCAGCAAACAUUAGAAAACAGAUGUUUUUUGCUCCCACCUUUUUGCACCACAGAACAAGUGGUUGACUGAAUCCCCGUUGUUCAAUACAGAUAAUGUUACACAGAUGUUGCUGAAGCACAUCACUGGCCCUUGGACUGUGCUUGGUGUCUGCAGGAGCACCUGGAGUCUUCCAGGGCCUUUUAAGCCUUGCACUUGGCAUUUCACAGAAAUGUACCAAAACACAGUGAUAUUGCUGGUGGUUUUAACAGGGAGGGUUGGUGUAGUGUCCUGCUCAGCGUGAGACAACAAAGGCGUCACCUCUCACUACUCCAGCUCUUGAAACUGCCAAAGCUUCUUUAGACUCCUUGUUUACCAUUAAUGCUGUUGAUGGUUACUGUACUUCUGUGAAAGUAGGUUAUGAGGUUGGCAAAACCAUCCUGAGUAUCUUCUCUCUAAAAAGAGACAAUAUAAAAACAAUAGAAAUACUUGAUUAUCAAUUUCUAGUAAUGCUGACUUUGAAUUUGAUCUGUUCAGAGAGGUUUAAAACACUUUUUUUUUUUUCCAGCAGCAUCAAGGAAUUUGUAUUGCAUAGCAUUUUCCAUAACUGAAAGGUACUGGAGAGAGGCUCAGAGGCACAGAAGAGCUGUGACAGGAGGUCAAGUGCAUCACCUGCUGCCAUGAGCACUGAAGAGGUGAGACCUGUGGUGCAUGUACCAGCAGUAAGGAAAGCCGCAGCUCACAGUUUACCAGAUGUGAGGUGUUUCAGCAGAACUGAGGCCAGAGGCAGAGUCUGCUACUCACUGAACAGGACUGCAUGAAAUUUCCACUGGUAAAAUACCACCUUUUUCCUGUGAAAGCAUUUCCAUUUAACCUCUAAGGAUUAGAAGAGUGGAACCACCUCCUAUUCUUCUGAGAAGCAGUGCUUAUGGAUGCCAAAGUGGUACAUCUCUGAAAUCUGGUCAGGAUCUUCCCAGUAAGAUAUUUUCACAUUUAAACUGUUUGUUCCUUCUUUUGUAUGAAAAUGAAAAGUAUUUCCUCCAAAAGAUGAUGAGCCAUACUGUAAACAGGUAAGAAUAGCAAAAUAAGUCCAGCCACAGAAAGGUAGUAAUAAUAAUAAUAAUAAUAAUAAUAAUAAUAAUAAUAAUAAUAAUAAUAAUAAUAAUAAUAAUAAUAAUAUAAACACAUACUACUUCUGUGACAAAGAAUUUUGAUGUCUUAGAUCUUCUGGUAUUAUUUUGUGUUCUUAUUUUCUGUUGCAUCCUUUGUCACCUAAGUCAGCUACUCCCUGGCUCUCAGAAAAGCUUUUUACAGCCAGUAUUUCACUUCAUGCAAUAGCUCUUUUCCUUUAUGAUUUUAAUGGUUGGUGCCAACCUAGGUGCAAGAAUUAGGGAUGGAUUUAUCCCCCCCAGAGUUUCUCCUUCUGACCACAGCAUGGCUUAUGUCUAAGGCUCCAAGAAUCAUGCAGAACACCAUGGUUGUUUCCAGACAGUCAAGCAGGAGACCAGGUUUGUCAGCAGCACUUCCAAAAGGCUGUUUUUGUCUCUUUAUCCUUCUUGCCUCUGCUGGUGUUCACAUCCUUCUUGCCUACCCUGGUGCUCCUUUAACUCAGCCACCAGAUGUUUUUUCAGAGUUUGGCUCUCAUCCCAGCCAUCCCAUCCCAUGCUCCACAGUUGAGUGAAAGAGGUGCACCUGUGGCUCCUUAUUAAACCUCUGAUUUAAGGUGAGUGAGUCAACAGCAGUGCCUGUCUCUGUGCUGCAAUAAGCAAUCUUCUGAUUGAAAAAAGUAUAAAAGAUCUGAUUAAGAGUGCACUGGCAUUGGGUGAUGGGAAGAGCAUAAAAGAACUGUGUCUCUGGCAGGUGGGAAUGCUGCUAGCAUUGCUCUCGUGUCAAGUUGAGAGUUGAGAGUUGGGUGUUUUUGCCAUUGUUGUUGCCCUGAAGAGGUUUAAGUCUUCUUCCUCAUACUGACUACUCACUAAGAAGUGAUAAAUCUCCACAUAAUAAGCUCUACAAAUGUAAAAUGCAACAUGCUGAAAUUAUAGAGUCUAAGUGAAGGAUAAUGCUUUCCAAGCUGUCUAUUUUCCCAAGGACAUACAGCCACACACACUGGUCUGUUCCUCUGCAGUUUUGACUUGACCUCUGUAUUAUGUCCCCUCCCUAAAAGGUCAGUUUGAUGUCUUUAUUUUUAAUGAUUAAAUAAUGUAUAGGUCUUGGUGUUUUGGGAUGAGGGUUUGGCUCACCUGUGUAACUCUCAAAAAAGAGGAUUUCAGCCUUUGGUUCCCAAAUCAUAUAAAAACUCCAAGUUUCAGGUGGCACAGAACACAGCUCAGUCAUUGACUGCUUGCGCACAGCUGUGUGAAAACUUAAAGUUUAUAAAGACCAUUUUCCACUUAAAAAAAUAAUUAAAAAGAAUAAGCAAUUUUUAGUUUUUUAAAGAAGUCCCACAAACUCCUAGCUAGUUUUUGGAAUUCAUCUUCCCAAUUACUCACAGCAAACACAAAGGAAGUCAGCAGAGGAUUUUACUGAUACUUUAAGCUAAAUGUGUGGUAUAUACAAGAUCUCACCCCCAUCAAGUAUGAAAACUCACAAAUACAGUUCAUUAUACAAGUGCAGUAGAGCUGGAGUUUCCCAGGUUUCUAUUUGUGAACUUUUCAUCCAUGUUCAUUUCAGAGACAUGGGAGACUUGUCAUUGAUGUUAGUUGGGUCUGAUUUAGUAUGUCUGUAAAAGAAGCUAAGAGAAAAUGCCGUACAAGUGAAAAAAAAAUAAUGACUUCUAUUUUGUUAGUAUUUAUUACAGACACAUUCUGUCACUGGCUGAGAUUUCAUGAUACUCAGUAACGUAGAAACCCCUGAGAGAAAGUGUCAACCCCAAACUGCUGUGUCAUUUGGCAUGUCCUGACAGACAAACCAAAGACAAACAUGACAGACAAAGAGCAAAGGGACGGCUGGCCAUGAAUUGUCUCUGCCCAGCUUCAUGCCAGUGGUGUGGCACACAGCAUUGAAGUGAAGGCAAAGGAGCUGCGGGGCUUGCAAGAUGCAAAAGUGCAAAGUGAAAGAGAAAGGAAAGCAGGCACAGGAUUGUGAUGAAGGGGACAUGGACAAAAACUGGGAAACAAACUGAGGCGCCCAGGAGAGCAUGGAAGAGGACUAGAAAGAUGGGGAAACAGAGCUCUGUACAUGUGGUGAAUACUUUGUGGUAUGAAAGAGGCUAGUCAUGGUCACAAGAAAAAAAAAAUCCUUUUGUCUCUGACAGACAUAUCAACAUUGCCAAGUUUCACCCAGCUGAGAGGAAAGGGCUGUGAAGCCCAGGCUGGAAAAAUGUACUGCAAUGCCUAAUGCUGCAACUGGCAACUUGCUAUCACUAUGAGAGGUGCUGCUAGUUUGAGAGCAGUCUGGUGCAGUGAAGCGCCUCAAACAUGCUCCAACCUGGGGAACGGAAUAUGAUAGCUUUGUUUUCUUUUCCCCGAUUAAAAAGUGUUUAAGAGAAAUUACAGGGCAUUGACACAUAGAUGUGCGCAAAUACUUUGUUAAA